UGGGGUUUUUCGCCUCCGUUUAAAGCGCCCAAAGGCUACAUCCCCCCUAACCCGAGAGCCUAAGAGAAGAGACCCCCCUUUAUUCCCUUUGGAAUCGGUCUUAAACCACAGAGCCAGGGUUCCGGUGACGUGACUUUGGGGUUUGGGGUAAGUCUCAUUUUCACUUUUCUUCUUAUUUUUUUGUCUAAAACAAACUUGAAAAUAGAAAAAGAAAAAAAAAGUAAAAUAGAAUAGAAAUCAGGAGAUAAAAAGAGAAGAUCAGAUUCAACCUUUUUUUUAUUGCUUAAAUCGCGUGUAAAAACCAAAAUACAUUGAUCUUUCUGGCUUUUAUAGCCGAAUAAAACUUCCUAUUCUACUGUUUAUUUCACUAUUGGUGUUGUUCAUGAUUUUGCUUAUGCUACUAUUUCUAUAAUCCUUGUUUCUGUCUUUCUUUUUUCUUUUUGCAGGGUCGGCGCUUAGACAACUAAGGGGAGAAGGGUUUCUUUUUCCAUUUCGGUGCAAACUUACAGACGAGCCUCGGGACGAGGUACGGGCGACGUGGCCGAGGAGGGCAUAGGUGCGGCGCACAUAAAAUUAGGGUUUAGGCUUUUCUAAAAAAAUGUUUAGGUACAUGGGCUUGUUAUCUUUGGACUAAGUUUUUAGUUUUGGGUCUGCAGAAAUUUAGAAUUGUGUUUUGGACUCUGGACUGGUAAUUUUUAUAUUUGGGCUUUUUGUUUGGGCUGGUUAAUGAUUUUGGGCUCGGGUAAAUUUGGGUUUUUACAUUUACCAAUGAGCAGGCAACAUUAGUAGUGACCUCAAAUAGCAGCCUUUUUUAUAGAACAGUUGAAACUUAAAUAUAUUAAGCAACAAGAAUAGUUCCUUAUGUUAAAUUUAGAUAAUAAGUAUAUGGCAUUUCUUUGAAGCUUUUGGCAGUGCACAUAUAUUUUUACUCAUCAUUCUCUGCUCUCUCUUUGGCACGCUUUUGAUCUCUACCGUCAAACUCUCUAAAACCCCUGCCUUCUUGAAAAGAUACUCCACCAAUUGAAACUCUAUAUUCUUUCUUUUCAAUGCAAAAACUUGAUUGCCUUGAUAUGAUGCCGAAAACAAGAGGGAUAUUUCUUCGGUGUACGCCAAUCUACGGGAUCAACGUCCUGAAAAACAAGACCAAAACAUAUAUAGCUACAACGAAACUAGUUCAAGACUGCAAUAAUAUGUAUAUAUGCAAUUUCUUUCCUUAAUUCGUACCUCCAAUUCAAAAGCAAGGGUUUCAAGACAUGGACAUCUAACAAGCAUGUUUUCCCAUCCAGCAUUGCAGGUACCAAUCUUCAAAAAGGUCAGGUUUGGAAAUUCGGGAAUCAGACUGGGCCUCUGUAGCAUAGCUUGAAUCUGAAAAAGGAAGGUUGGUUAUAGUUAAGUCACUUAGUCAAUGUUUUUUCUUUUUUUACUAGAAAAUGAAAUCCAGAAUUUUUUUUUUUUGGUACCCCUGAGCAAAUACCGGUUAAAUGAAAUGAUUGAACACAACUGAGUGCUCUCAUCACAUCAAAUACCGAAUCAGUGACAUUGCAGUAGUUUGAAGACAUGGCUAUAAAUCCAAUAUAAAUGCGUGCUUCUGAAAGAGAGUUUAGGUUUCUGAGUGAGAGCCUUGUUUCUUUACAGUAGACGCAGCCGAAAUCAAAGAAGACCAGAUUCGGGGUGUCAAUCUCCACUUCACAACUAGGGGCAAUAAAACCACCACUUAUGGUUAGCCUCUUAAGUGUAGGAUGGCAAACACUGAGUUUGUUUAGGUUGCUGAGUUCACAUGAUUGAACAAGCAAUUCCUCCAG
rnacentral:lncRNA from 1 species